GACAUAGGUGGCGAACGUUAUCCGGAAUUAUUGGGCGUAAAGGAUGCGUAGAUGGUAGAAUAAGUUACUGGUCGAUGCCAAACUCAAUUUGGCGGAAGCCGAUAAUACUGUUCUACUCGAGGGCAGGAGAGGUUGUUGGAAUUCUGUGUGGAGCGGUGAAAUGCGCAGAUAUCAGGAGGAACACCGGUGGCGAAGGCGGGUCUCUGGGCCGAUACUGACGCUGAGGAGCGAAAGCGUGGGGAGCGAACAGG
rnacentral:rRNA from 1 species